rnacentral:rRNA from 1 species
UUCGCAAUGCCCGAAAGGGUGACGAUGCGACGCCGCGUGAGCGAAGAAGGCCCUAGGGUUGUAAAGCUCUGUCGAGGGUUAUGAAAUAUAGAUGGGUUAAUACCCCAUUUAUUUGACAAAAGCCCAAAAGGAAGCCACGGCUAACUCUGUGCCAGCAGCCGCGGUAAUACAGAGGUGGCGAGCGUUGUUCGGUAUUAUUGGGCGUAAAGAGCACGUAGGUGGUUUUGUAAGUCAGGUGUGAAAGCCUUCUGUUCAAAGGAAGAACGGCAUCUGAAACUGUAGAUCUUGAGUGUAGGAGGGGAGAGUGGAACUUCUGGUGGAGCGGUGAAAUGCGUAGAUAUCAGAAGGAACGUCGGCGGCGAAAGCGACUCUCUGGCCUAUUACUGACACUGAGGUGCGAAAGUUAGGGGAGCAAACGGGAUUAGAUACCCCGGUAGUCCUAACCGUAAACGAUGGGCACUAAGUAGAGGGGUUUU